AUUGAACGCUGGCGGCAUGCCUUACACAUGCAAGUCGAACGGUAACACGCCUACGGGUUGUUACUAGUGGUGACCGGGGGCGGAAAGGUUCGGAAUAAAUCCAGAUCUAGGUUUUCGUGCAGGAAAAGGUAGGACAACCUACCCUCAUACCUGAAGCUGCAUACGGGUGAACACAGAGCACAUUUCGGCCUUGCGCCCUUGCAUGAGCCGAUGUCAGAUUCGCUAGUUGGUGGGGUAAAGUCCGACCAAGCCGACGAUCCGUCGCUGGUCUGAGAGAAUGACCAGCCACACUGGGACUGAGACACGGUCCAGACUCCUACGGGAGGCAGCAGUGGGGAAUUUUGGACAAUGGGCGCAAGCCGGAUCCAGCAAUGCCGCGUGAGGGAAGAAGGCCUUCGGGUUGUAAACCGCUUUUGUACGGAAAGAAAAGGCUCUGGCUAAUACCUGGGGCUGAUGACGGUACCGUAAGAAUAAGCACCGGCUAACUACGUG
rnacentral:rRNA from 1 species